GUUUUUGCACUCCCCUAGCAACUGAGAAAUCAGGACAUCUUUCUCCACAGGCAAGAAGAGGAAAAUAAUACAUGAGUGACAGAAGAUUGAGUACAGUACCCAGCUUUGCCGAGUAGACCAUCGUAUUGAAGAUACGGCUCAAGUUCAAAACUGAGAAGCAGCUACUGGAAAAAAGCAAAAACCAGACAAUUUGGAGUAAAGGAAAUGGAAGAAAAGGAA
rnacentral:lncRNA from 10 species